rnacentral:misc_RNA from 1 species
CCAUGAAAUCGGCCGAGCUGGAGGUAUUUCCUCUCUCUUUUCGCCGGUAAUUAUUUUCAUUUUCUGUCUAAUCGCCGAGAAAAUGCAGGAGAGUAACAUUAUAUUUGAUUUUUUUUCACUUUUUUUGGAGGCCUGUGGGAUAUAGUAAAUGCUACUUUUUAAUUAGACAAUCACAUCAGUUAGUUUAAUCGAUGAUUAAAUUCAGGAUAUUGGAAGGAAUUGAAUCAUUGAAUCCAGAAUUCGAGCAUUGGAACUAUUUGAGCUCAGUGCCACAUAAGUGGAGUUAUUUUUCAAUUGGGUUAUUGGUAAUUUGGUAUUGGGUUCAAUUGUAGUUUAGCAAGUAUGGAUGAUAAAGCCUUACUCUUGAAAAGUGUUAAACUAAAGACAAUGAUUAGCUAUGUUAGUGAGUUAUAUCUGUGCUCUUGUUUUCGACUGCAUUGCUGCCUGCACCAACAUAGGGAUGAUGGGAUCUCUGCCUCCACCAACCAGUUCACAUGCAGCUUCUUCAGCAUUGCUAAGUAUACUCUAUUGCUAUAACAACCAUCAUUGCCUAUGUUUUCAUCUACCUAUGUGUGAGCACCAGUUUGCCUGUUUGGCGACGUCAACCAUGAAAUGCUGUUGCAUCCACCUUCAAUAGCACAAAUCUUUUUGUUUGUUUCUUGCCAAUGACUAAUGCUCAAAUUAACAGUAACUUUAGUGGGCUGAUGAUCUUCCAACUUAACAAAUAUCUUUGUCUCCUUUUUGAUGGUUUAGAGCCAAGGUAGCAUAAUAUUUAGGGUUAGGCUUCUUAUUGUACCUGAUUUAACUACAAUCAAUCAUAUAAGUCUGUGGUCUUAGGGACAUUUCUCCUCAAAGUAAAAGUAGCCUAUGAUUAUUUUGUAAAUUACUAAAAUCUACAAGCUACAUGCUUGAUUAUGAAAUGGUUAUUGAAUGGCAAGGUUUUUCCUCUGUCGCAGAGGUUGCACUUCUGCCCUGGUUCUUCAACACAGUGGCAACUUGGUCACAGGAUAGCUUGAUAGUUUCUUGGUAUGCUUUCAUUGUCUGUACACCAUUGAAGAUUGAUUGAUGGUAUGUAAAUGUCCAUUUAUAUCUUUGUCUAAUGGGUUGCAACCUUAACCCUUCCUCUCAAGGGCAAAGGAACUACUUGAUUGAGGUCAGUGGUGCAGCCUGAUUUGGAAUGGUAGGUUCUUUCCUGGAUUCUGUUGAGAGAGUGUCAUAAGAGUUAAAAUGAUCUCUUGCCAUCAGAUAGACAUGAAUAUCGACACAUAAUUGGUUUCAAAUUGCUGUGACGAAGGGUGGAGUUACAGCACGUGUGUGCAUUAUGGUGUUAAGUUCAAUUUGGAAACUUUUGUUGCAUGGAUACACAUGAUAUGUGGUAUCAAGCUAGACAUAUCAAUGCCUAUAUGUUUUUAAUUAUCUUGUUAGGUUCAUGCUUUAGAGCUUAGAUUGAUGCGCUUCCUGGUAAGGGCCAAUAUCAUGACCAUGUAAAUAUUAGAUAACUUUAGGAUAAGCUUGAUUCUGCAGUAGUUGCUAAGCAGAGGAGGGAACUGAGAUGGAAGUAUCUCCCUUAUAAAUUCAAAUUUUAAUUUAUUUUAGGUGUAAAAUUGGUUUUAUUCCUAGUAAGUGUUCUUUCUCCUAUGCUGCUUUUGAUCUUAGUAGUGGUGAUGAAGCAUAAGAACUAAGAAGUUAACUGUUAUCUUGUUGUAUUCAGAUUUAUUUAUUGUUUGGACAUAUGCAUCCUUUUCUACUCAUUAACAGAAUAACAUGCUUCAUUUAUUCUUUUAUUGCAUGUAAAAAGGGCUUUAGGGAUUUUUUUUGUGGGAAUUAGAUGCCAAAUACCUUCACAAAUUACCCUGUAUUAUCAUACAAUUGAGGUUUGUUGGAGUUGAUGGAAGAUUAGCUCAGUUAAUUUGAAUCACCUGGCCACAAUUUGUUUGUGCACGCACCAUUAUUGUGCUCUUGAGAUGAUGAUAAACAGCUAAAAAGAUAUUAUUCUUGCAGCAACGCCCACAUCAUCCUGUUCGCCCAAUUCCGUCACAGCUUUGGUGCAAGAACUUUGGUACUAAAGACUACAACGAAGUGAAGUGACAGUAGAAGUUGAAUUGAUCUAUCUUGCAUUGUGUCUAAGCAAGACUCUGUAUCUUUUGAUCCCGGAUUUGAGCAACACUUGUUUUAGUUAUAUGCUAGAAUAAGCUUUAAAUCUACAACUUAAUGAGUGGAUUAUCGAUUUUGAUUAUAUUGUUAAUAAAUUGCUGUCUAUUUUGUUUUUCAUAUUGCUGAACUGAUGUUACAAUUUUGAUAUUGAUGCUGUUUU